AAACAUUUCUGAGGGGAAAAUAUUUUUGGUAUAACCUGCUCCAUGCGUUUGUUAAUAGCUGCCGUAUAUUAACUGUACAAAGGUAGCAUAGUAAUUAGUCUUUUAAUUGAAGGCUUGAAUGAAUGGUUGAAUGUAAAAUUAACUUUUUUAUAAAUAUUUAAAUUUUAUUUUUAAGUUAAAAAGCUUAAAUUAUUAAAAGGGACGAGAAGACCCUAUAGAAUUUAAAAUAAAUGAUUUUUAUUUUUAAUUGGGGUGAUAGAAAUUAACUUUCUUUUUUUUCAUUUAUAAAUGAUUUUAUGAUCCUAAAAUUAGAUAAAAAGAUAAAAUUACCUUAGGGAUAACAGCAUUAUUUUUUUUUUAAGAACAUAUUUAUAAAAAAGUUUAUGACCUCGAUGUUGAAUUAAAGUUAUAUUUAAAUGUAGGUGUUUAAAUA
rnacentral:rRNA from 1 species